rnacentral:rRNA from 1 species
UACGUAGGCAGCGAGCGUUGUUCGGAAUUACUGGGCGUAAAGAGUGUGUAGGCGGCGCUCUAAGUUCGGUGUGAAAUCCCUCAGCUUAACUGGGGAACUGCGUCUGAUACUGAGUGGCUUGAGUGCAGGAGAGGAAUGCGGAAUUCCAGGUGUAGCGGUGAAAUGCGUAGAUAUCUGGAGGAACACCGGUGGCGAAGGCGGCAUUCUGGACUGUAACUGACACUGAGGAACGAAAGCCAGGGGAGCAAACGGG